AUUGAACGCUGGCGGCAUGCUUUACACAUGCAAGUCGAACGGCAGCAUGGGUGCUUGCACCUGAUGGCGAGUGGCGAACGGGUGAGUAAUGUAUCGGAACAUAUCCGCAAGUGGGGGAUAACGUAGCGAAAGUUACGCUAAUACCGCAUAUUCCCUGAGGGGGAAAGGAGGGGAUCCGCAAGGACCUUUCGCUUACGUAGUGGCCGAUAUCAGAUUAGCUAGUUGGUGGGGUAAAGGCCUACCAAGGCGACGAUCUGUAGUGGGUCUGAGAGGAUGAUUCGCCACACUGGGACUGAGACACGGCCCAGACUCCUACGGGAGGCAGCAGUGGGGAAUUUUGGACAAUGGGGGCAACCCUGAUCCAGCCAUGCCGCGUGAGUGAAGAAGGCCUUCGGGUUGUAAAGCUCUUUCAGCUGGAAAAAAAUCGCAUCACCUAAUACGUGGUGUGGAUGAUGGUACCAGCAGAAGAAGCACCGGCUAACUACGUGCCAGCCGCCGCCGUAACAC
rnacentral:rRNA from 1 species